UACGUAGGUGGCGAGCGUUGUCCGGAUUUACUGGGCGUAAAGGGCGUGCAGGCGGUUUGUUAAGUGCAGGGUGAAAGCUCCCGGCUCAACUGGGAGAGGUCCUUGCAUACUGGCGAACUCGAGGGAGGCAGAGGAAAGUGGAAUUCCCGGUGUAGUGGUGAUAUGCGUAGAUAUUGGGAAGAACACCGGUGGCGAAGGCGGCUCACUGGCUCGUUUCUGACGCUCAGGCGCGACAGCGUGGGGAGCAAACAGG
rnacentral:rRNA from 1 species